UAAUUUAAUUCGUUGAUCUAGUAACACACAACACUUGAUAAGAUAUUAAAUAGUAUUCUUAUAUUAAAGUUUAUCAUAAUAAUUUUAUUAUCAAAAUAGUUAUUUAUAUAUUGUGUUAAAUUAAUGCAACAUAGUGAUUUUUAAUAUACUUUAAUUUAAUUUUUUAAUUUUUAUUUUAACUUAUAUUUUCAUAUUUUAAAAUUUUGGUAAUAAUAUAUAUUUUUUAUAAUUUUAAAAUUAAACUAGGAGAAAUCUGACUUAAAUACAAACACAACGCUAGAGAAGAGCAAUUUACCUGCCUUGUGUCAUGCACAAAAUUCUUGUCAUAUUCUUACAAAAAGCUCAGAAAUAUCCAUGCUUAAAGAAGGUCCGCCAAGUGGUAGCUUGUCGAAUCAGUUUCUUGUUGAUAAUGUUUCAAGGUCUGCAGCUACCCAUAUGGAUUUGACAAGAAGCAACUUUCUUUCAAAACUUUAUUCUUUUGCCAGCAACACAGGAAAUCCUCUCGGAACAAUACAACAACCAAAUGGGAGUGUUCCUGUGAUUUAGCAACUUCGAUGAGAUUUUUUUGCUAGGUGGUACAGGUAACCAAUACGAGGUUAGGAUUUAGCUCCAUUUUUUAAGCUGAUAGAGUAAAUUACUCAAAUUGUGCAUCCUGUCAUUUACUCUGUAAAUGAAACUUACCUUUGUUAUAUAAUGGUUGGAAAUGAAGAAAUUAUUAAUUCUGUGUUCAAAUUU